AUUGGAAACGAUAGCUAAUACCGCAUAAGAGUAGAUGUUGCAUGACAUUUGCUUAAAAGGUGCAAUUGCAUCACUACCAGAUGGACCUGCGUUGUAUUAGCUAGUUGGUGGGGUAACGGCUCACCAAGGCGACGAUACAUAGCCGACCUGAGAGGGUGAUCGGCCACACUGGGACUGAGACACGGCCCAGACUCCUACGGGAGGCAGCAGUAGGGAAUCUUCGGCAAUGG
rnacentral:rRNA from 1 species